rnacentral:rRNA from 1 species
UACGUAGGGUGCGAGCGUUAAUCGGAAUUACUGGGCGUAAAGCGUGCGCAGGCGGGUAUAUAAGACAGGUGUGAAAUCCCCGGGCUCAACCUGGGAAUUGCAUCUGUGACUGUAUAGCUAGAGUACGGUAGAGGGGGAUGGAAUUCCGCGUGUAGCAGUGAAAUGCGUAGAUAUGCGGAGGAACACCGAUGGCGAAGGCAAUCCCCUGGACCUGUACUGACGCUCAUGCACGAAAGCGUGGGGAGCAAACAGG